rnacentral:rRNA from 1 species
UUCCAGGUCCUGACAUCCCCCUGACCGCUCCAGAGAUAGGGGCUUCCUUCGCGUCAGCGGUGGUAGGUGGUGCAUGGUUGUCGUCCGCUCGUGUCCUGAGAUGUUUGGUUAAGUCCCGCAACGAGCGCAAACCUUAUCUUUAGUUGCCAGCAUUCAGUUGGGCACUCUAGAGAGACUGCUGUUGACAAGACGGAGGAAGGCGGGGCUGACGUCAAAUCAUCAUCCCCCUUAUGACCUGGGCUACACACGUGCUACAAUGGCUGGUACAACGGGAAGCUUGCUCGCGAGAGUAUGCCAAUCUCUUAAAACCAGUCUCAGUUCGGAUUUCAGGGUGCAACUCGACUGCAUGAAGUCGGAAUCACUAGUUUUCCUGGAUCUGCAUGCGCGGGGAAAACGUCACCGGGCCUUGUUCUCUCCGCCCGUCCCUAAAGGGGAGAUCAACACUCGAAGCGUGGGGUAUCCUAGCAAACAACCGUCGUGAUUAGACAGAUA